UGGCGGACGGGUGAGUAACGCGUGGGUAACCUGCCUCAUACAGGGGGAUAACAGUUAGAAAUGACUGCUAAUACCGCAUAAGCGCACGGUUUCGCAUGGAACAGUGUGAAAAACUCCGGUGGUAUGGGAUGGACCCGCGUCUGAUUAGCUGGUUGGCGGGGUAACGGCCCACCAAGGCGACGAUGCGUAGGGGUUCUGAGAGGAAGGUCCCCCACACUGGUACUGAGACACGGACCAGACUCCUACGGGAGGCAGCAG
rnacentral:rRNA from 1 species